GCGCAUCAGAGGCAGCUGAUGGUUGCAAAGUAGGACAAGCNUNUGUGUAGUGAUCACGAGAAGUACAAACAGCACAUAGUCGUGCAANAGAUGUGGAUGAAGCUGUAGGUUUCUGGCUGGUUGCCAACUCUGUCACUAACUUCGCAAGGGAUUCAAUCUUGUUGUCCAACUUGCUUUCAAUAGCAGAUAAAGACUGGGNAACAACAUCAUGUACGCCCCUCACCACAAUGACAUCAUUCCUGGUGCUAAA
rnacentral:lncRNA from 1 species